rnacentral:pre_miRNA from 1 species
AAAUCGUCCUCUAAGUUUUGCAACUGUAGCAGUUUUGGUCCCUAAGAUCAAGUUUUGGUAAAAAAAAAUGACACAUGACACUUCAAUUAGGGCGUCACGUCAGCGUAGACCGAAUCAAAAUUGAUCUUGGGGGCCAAAACUGCCACAAAUGCAAAAUUUAAGGAGCGAUUU